rnacentral:lncRNA from 1 species
UGCGGCCAUCACGCCUUCUCCGACUACUCCCUCCUCGACGACGUUGUCGGCCUCGUCCUGCAUUCCGCCCUCCUCGUGCCUUACUUCUCCUGGAAGUACAGCCAUCGCCGCCACCACUCCAACACCGGCUCCAUGGAGCGCGACGAGGUCUUCGUCCCCAAGCCCAAGUCCGCCAUGCGCUGGUAUUCCACCUACCUCAACAACCCGCCCGGCCGCAUCCUGACCCUGGCCGUCACCCUCACCCUCGGCUGGCCUCUGUACCUCGCCUUCAAUGUCUCCGGCCGCGCCUACCCCCGCUUCGCCUGCCACUACGAUCCCUACGGCCCCAUCUACUCGGACCGGGAACGCGCCCAGAUCUUCAUCUCCGAUGCAGGCCUUAUGGCGGCCGUGUACGCCCUCUACCGCAUCGCCGCCAGCUACGGCUUCUGGUGGGUGGUGAGGGUGUACGGAGUGCCGCUUCUGAUCGUGAACGGGUGGCUGGUCCUCAUCACCUACCUGCAGCACACGCACCCGUCGCUGCCGCACUACGACUCGAGCGAGUGGGACUGGCUGCGCGGGGCGCUGGCGACGGUGGACAGAGACUACGGGAUUCUCAACAACGUGUUCCACAACAUCAC